rnacentral:sRNA from 1 species
CUUGGUCAUUUAGAGGAAGUAAAAGUCGUAACAAGGUUUCCGUAGGUGAACCUGCGGAAGGAUCAUUACCGAGUGCGGGAACCCAGUCGGGUCCCAAUCUCCCACCCGUGUCUACCACACCUAGUGUUGCUUUGGCGGGCCCACUCCUCCGGUGUUCCGCCGGGGGGGUCGUCCCGGGGCGCGGUGUGCCCCCGGGGCCCGUGCCCGCCAGAGGCACUCACUGUGAACGCUUUUGUGAAUGCGAGGAUUGUCUGAGUGACGAAAUGCAAUCGUUCAAAACUUUCAACAAUGGAUCUCUUGGUUCCGGCAUCGAUGAAGAACGCAGCGAAAUGCGAUAAGUAAUGUGAAUUGCAGAAUUCCGUGAAUCAUCGAAUCUUUGAACGCACAUUGCGCCCUCUGGUAUUCCGGGGGCAUGCCUGUCCGAGCGUCAUUGCGAACCCUCAAGCACGGCUUGUGUGUUGGGCCGCCGUCCCCUCGUUUGGAGGGGACGGGCCUGAAAGGCAGCGGCGGCGUCGCGUCCGGUCCUCGAGCGUAUGGGGCUCUGUCACGCGCUCAAGGAGGGGUCCGGCCGGGGCCAUAGCCUCUGAAGGUCAAUUCUUCCAAGGUUGACCUCGGAUCAGGUAGGAGUACCCGCUGAACUUAAGCAUAUCAAUAAGCGGAGGAAAAGAAACUAACAAGGAUUCCCCUAGUAACGGCGAGUGAAGCGGGAUGAGCUCAAAUUUAAAAUCUGGCGGUCUCAGAUCGUCCGAGUUGUAGUCUAGAGAAGCGUUUUCCGUGCUGGCCUGUGUACAAGUCCGUUGGAACACGGCGUCAUAGAGGGUGAGAAUCCCGUCCUUGACACAGAUCUCCAGUGCUUUGUGAUGCGCUCUCAAAGAGUCGAGUUGUUUGGGAAU